GGGGAUGACAGGCUUCGACGGGAGAGGCUGGCCCCGGAUUGCGAGCCGAGAGGUGCCGAACUCGUAAAAUCAGCUCAAAACAAAGUGCCAAUCGCACAAACUAUUCCGCUCUGCCCCUCGCUGCUUAAGCAAGGUGUGUGAGCAAAUGGCUUCUUAGAAGCCACGUCUGCCUUCCCCGCUCUCUGACCGGAGGGAGAGCAGGCGUAAAAAAGUCAGAGUGCCGUGUGGUAUGCCACGUACUAUGCGAAAGAGGACUUUCGGGUUCAAGUGGCUGGCAGGUUGUUGGUUUUGCCAGAAUACCGGCAGGCUGCAAGAUUGAAAACUGGCUACGCUCGUAGAUAUCCGCGGGACGAAUCUUUCGGACGCGGGUUCGAUUCCCGCCAUCUCCACUU
rnacentral:tmRNA from 1 species